rnacentral:rRNA from 2 species
GGCAGCAGUGAGGAAUAUUGGACAAUGGAGGCAACUCUGAUCCAGCCAUGCCGCGUGCAGGAAGACUGCCCUAUGGGUUGUAAACUGCUUUUAUAUAGGAAGAAACCUACUUACGUGUAAGUAGCUGACGGUACUAUAAGAAUAAGGAUCGGCUAACUCCGUGCCAGCAGCCGCGGUAAUACGGAGGAUCCAAGCGUUAUCCGGAAUCAUUGGGUUUAAAGGGUCCGUAGGUGGAUAAUUAAGUCAGAGGUGAAAUCUUGCAGCUCAACUGUAAAAUUGCCUUUGAUACUGGUUAUCUUGAGUUAUUAUGAAGUAGUUAGAAUAUGUAGUGUAGCGGUGAAAUGCAUAGAUAUUACAUAGAAUACCAAUUGCGAAGGCAGAUUACUAAUAAUCAACUGACACUGAUGGACGAAAGCGUGGGUAGCGAACAGGAUUAGAUACCCUGGUAGUCCACGCCGUAAACGAUGGUUACUAGCUGUUUGGACCUUGUGUCUGAGUGGCUAAGCGAAAGUGAUAAGUAACCCACCUGGGGAGUACGUUCGCAAGAAUGAAACUCAAAGGAAUUGACGG